GACGAACGCUGGCGGCGUGCCUAAUACAUGCAAGUCGAACGCAGUGGGGACGGGUGAGUAACACGUGGGUAACCUCCCAUCAGAGGGGAUAACACUUGGAAACAGGUGCUAAACCGAUACUGAUGGAUGGACCCGCGGUGCAUUAGCUAGUUGGGGAGGUAACGGCUCACCAAGGCCACGAUGCAUAGCCGGACUGUGGGGGUGAUCGGCCAAACGGUGACUGAGACACGGCCCAGACUCCCACGGGUGGCAGCAGUAGGGAAUCUUCGGCAAUGGACGAAAGUCUGACCGAGCAAAGCCGCUGGAGUGAAGAAGGUUUGCGGAUCGUAAAACUCUGGUGUUAGAGAAGCGGUAUCUAACCAGAAAGCCACGGCUAACUACGUGCCAGCAGCCGCGGUAAUUC
rnacentral:rRNA from 1 species